AGUUGCAGGAAAGUUUUCUGGUUCAAAACCAGAGAAGGGGGAAGAGCCUUGCAGCAAAGAAGAUGGAUGGGAAGUAUGGUGUUCUCUGUCAUUCUUCAACAUCUUUUGAGCAUCAACAGAGCAUGCACUUGAAGAAGAACUAAAAGGUAAUGAUGCUAGCCAUGUUGAGACACGAUAUUUUUGGUUCUCUUUAUAUGUAUUGCCCAGAGAUGUAACCGAGCCACUUAAAUAAGGUAUAUGCUUAGGAAGAAAACCAUUCCUGAAGGUAGAACUACCUCUAUCACUCAGCAGACCAGGCUUGACAUAAUUGUCCGCAGGUAAACUCUGACCUAUACUGGUUUGUCUUACAUCCUUAGAUGGCUCGGAAUCAUCUGUAGAUGCUUGAAACUGUUGAGAUCCAAGGGAAGUGCCAAUAGAUUUAUCCUUACUAUGGAUUAAAGGAGAUGAUGCUGUCCCAUUUCUAGCUGAUGAAGGCAAUCUGUCAGAAGAACCAGGUGAGUGUGGCCUUGAUUUUUCAGCAGUAUUUUGAAUACCUGAUGCAUAAAGUUCUUGUAAGAUAUCACAGUAGAGAAGGUUCUGGAUCAUCCUUAAUGCAGAAAAUUAGUUGUACCUUCAUCAAGCUGAACAGCUAUUUUCUCAUCUGCUACAGCUGCAUCUUCCUCAGAUUGUUGUCUAGGAUUAGUACCACUAUCUUUUAUGUGAAUAAAUUUACAUGAACUUCCUUUGACACACCACCCUCUAGCAAAGAAGUCACAAAUAAGUGCAGGGCGUUUGUUCUCGCUAUUAAACUCAGCACCAGGGUACAGACUUCCAGUACUAGUUUGCGGAGCAGAAGAUCUGUAAAACCUAUUUGUUAGUAAAAUAAUGGACAACUAGUCUUGGGAAGGUAGAAAUUUACUAGCAAAAAGGACACAAUAAGAAGCUUGGGUUCAAUCUACGUUACAGAAGGCAUAUAUCACUAACCUUGACUUUAUACUCCGUUUAUUAUUCUCUGUUUGCAUGCCCAUUUGCUCGCUUUUUUGCUCAAAACCAUGACUACUAACUCCGACACCUGAGUGAUAUCUGCCCAGUAUUGAAAUAACAUCAUUGAUAGCUAUCUCUUUGCCAUCAACACUUAUUAGAUUAGUAGCCUCAUACAUAAUCUCAUUGACCUUGCUUCUAGUAUGCUGUUCAUGGUGGUCUUCAUGGGCCUUUCUUUCAAAAAUGACUCGAGCAUCUUGUCCAUUAACCCCAUAUUCUUGGAUUGCCUUUUCAUUUGCAGGCCAUUUUCCAGAUAUUGGAUACUUUGAACCGUUGUAGUUUUUGCAUAGAUCCUCCCUUUGAGUUGCCCAUGGCUCAUCUGGAAGACUACAUAAGUUGAAACUA
rnacentral:lncRNA from 1 species